UGGGGAAUAUUGCACAAUGGGCGAAAGCCUGAUGCAGCAACGCCGCGUGAGUGAUGAAGGUCUUCGGAUUGUAAAGCUCUGUCUUUUGGGACGAUAAUGACGGUACCAAAGGAGGAAGCCACGGCUAACUACGUGCCAGCAGCCGCGGUAAUACGUAGGUGGCGAGCGUUGUCCGGAUUUACUGGGCGUAAAGGGUGCGUAGGCGGAUGUUUAAGUGAGAUGUGAAAUACCCGGGCUUAACUUGGGUGCUGCAUUUCAAACUGGAUAUCUAGAGUGCAGGAGAGGAGAAUGGAAUUCCUAGUGUAGCGGUGAAAUGCGUAGAGAUUAGGAAGAACACCAGUGGCGAAGGCGAUUCUCUGGACUGUAACUGACGCUGAGGCACGAAAGCGUGGGUAGCAAACAGGAUUAGAUACCCUGGUAGUCCACGCCGUAGACGAUGAGUACUAGGUGUAGGAGGUAUCGACCCCUUCUGUGCCGCAGUAAACACAUUAAGUACUCCGCCUGGGAAGUACGAUCGCAAGAUUAAAAC
rnacentral:rRNA from 1 species